AGGAUGGUGAGAUGUGUAGGUCAGAGGAUGGUGAGACGUGUAGGUCAGAGGAUGGUGAGACGUGUAGGUCGGAGGAUGGUGAGACGUGUAGGUCAGAGGAUGGUGAGACGUGUAGGUCGGAGGAUGGUGAGAUGUGUAGGUCAGAGGAUGGUGAGACGUGUAGGUCGGAGGAUGGUGAGACGUGUAGGUCAGAGGAUGGUGAGAUGUGUAGGUUGGAGGAUGGUGAGACGUGUAGGUCGGAGAAUGGUGAGAUGUGUAGGUCAUAGGAUGGUGAGACAUGUAGGUCGGGAGAUGGUGAGGCAUGUACACUACUGUUCAAAAGUUUGGAGCCACUUAGAAAUGUCCUUUUUUU
ensembl:lncRNA